AUGUUAUGGUAAUUUUGGGGAUGAUGUGUCACCUUCUAAUUUCUCCAUAAUGACAUUGUUGUGGUUUUCAUGAAUAUAAUCGUUCAGGUAUGUAAAACAAUUUAGGAAAAGAAUAAUUCAUGAAUUGGAUAAUGUGUCUUUUGCACUUUGGCCCUUGCAAUAGGUUUUGCUGUUUUAUUAGAAUACUUGGCUUGGUUUCUUUUUUUCUAAAAGUUCAUGGCCUUUCUUGGAAGUUUGCAAGGACCUUUUGGGAAGAUAUGGAUUUUCUAUAUUUUUGAAAAAAUUGGGCUUUUUCUAGAAUUUAGAUAUUACCAUGCCUAUUUCUAUGAUCUGUACGGAGAAACAAAUAUUUCUAAGAAAUAUUUCUUUUUCCCCCACAUGUAUGCUUGAUAAAAAAAUCAUGUACACAAUUAUAUAUGCAAUGUACAUGUACGUAUCUAUUCACAGUUUACACUCCCCUUAAUGUGUGAUGAAUGUUAUGUAUGCAUGAUGAAUGUAAAAAUCAAGGAUGUCUAAAACUGUGAUAUGAAGUGAAAUGAUACGGUACUCCGUUUGAGAUAAUAUGCAUGAGAUGAUCAUGUCGGUUC
rnacentral:lncRNA from 1 species